rnacentral:lncRNA from 1 species
CCUCUGAUUCAUGUGGAAAGGUUGGCAGUUACUUGCGGAAAACAGAACAAGAUGAGAGCUUUACUUGCAGUAUUCCUUGCCCUAUGUGUGCUGGACUUAUCUGCCAACGCUUACCCAAUGUUCCAUCGUAAGAAGGGUUUUGGACCAAGAAUUAUGCCAGUCCCUGUGCACCCUUAUCCAGUGUACGGACCAGGAUACGGUCCCGGUCCCGGCCCAAGAGGAUUUGGUGGUGAUGCACUCACCCUUUUAACCUCAGCUGCUCUCAUUGGCUCAGGGGUCCCGGGUGGUCAAGCUCUAGGCACACUAGGACUUGCCAGUACACUGUUUUAAGACGCAAAAACAGCUUCAUAUCGUAUCUCCUUGCCAAAGAAGCGACGUAUGAACAGCUGUUUGACACAAUAUGUGAUCCAUUAGUUUCAGUAAUAAAUUAUUUUACAAUCUA